GGAUGCCUUGGCACUAGGAGCCGAUGAAGGACGUGAUAAGCUGCGAUAAGCUUCGGGGAGUUGCACGUAAACUUUGAUCCGAAGAUUUCCGAAUGAGGAAACUCACUUAGAGUAAUGUCUAAGUAUCAUUAAGUGAAUACAUAGCUUAAUGAGGGGAACUCAGGGAACUGAAACAUCUAAGUACCUGAAGGAAGAGAAAGAAAUUCGAUUCCGUAAGUAGCGGCGAGCGAACGCGGAUUAGCCCAAACCAAUAAAGUUUUCUUUAUUGGGGUUGCGGACAUAUCAUAACGAAGAGGUAUCGUAAUUGAAGAGGUUUGGAAAGACCCACCACAGAAGGUAAUAGUCCUGUAUGUUAAACGAGAAGACUUCAGAUAUGAUCCAGAGUACCACGGGACACGUGAAACCCUGUGGGAAGCAGGAGGGACCACCCUCCAAGGCUAAAUACUACCUAGUGACCGAUAGCGUAUAGUACCGUGAGGGAAAGGUGAAAAGAACCCCGGGAGGGGAGUGAAAUAGAACCUGAAACCCUGCACUUACAAGCUGUGGAAGCACAUUUCUUGUGUGACCGCGUACUUUUUGUAGAACGGGCCAACGAGUUACGUUAAGUAGCAAGGUUAAGCACUUAAGGUGCGGAGCCGUAGCGAAAGCGAGUUUUAACUGAGCGUUCAGUUACUUGACGUAGACCCGAAACCGGGCGACCUACCCAUGAGCAGGAUGAAGCGAAAGUAAAAUUUCGUGGAGGUCCGAACCCACGAGCGUUGAAAAGCUCGGGGAUGACUUGUGGGUAGCGGUGAAAUUCCAAUCGAGCCCGGAGAUAGCUGGUUCUCCCCGAAAUAGCUUUAGGGCUAGCCUCAAGGUGAGAGAUACGGAGGUAGAGCACUGAAUGUCCUAGGGGGUAUUGCACCUACCGAAGACUAUCAAACUCCGAAUGCCGUCAUCUUAUACUUGGGAGUCAGACUGUGGGUGAUAAGAUUCAUAGUCGAAAGGGCAACAGCCCAGAUCGUCAGCUAAGGUCCCUAAAUGUAAGUUAAGUGGUAAAGGAUGUGGGAUUGCACAGACAACCAGGAUGUUGGCUUAGAAGCAGCCACUCAUUCAAAGAGUGCGUAAUAGCUCACUGGUCGAGUGAUCCUGCGCCGAAGAUUUCCGGGGCUAAAACUUACUACCGAAGCUACGGCAUCAGUAAUGAUGGGUAGGGGAGCUUCCCAUACGGGUUGAAGCAUGACCGUAAGGACAUGUGGACAGUAUGGGAGUGAGAAUGUUGGCAUGAGUAGCGAGAUGUGGGUGAGAAUCCCACAGGCCGUAAACCCAAGGUUUCCAGGGGAAGGUUCGUCCGCCCUGGGUUAGUCGGGACCUAAGCUGAGGCCGAAAGGCGUAGGUGAUGGACAACAGGUUGAUAUUCCUGUACUACCGAUAACCGUUUGAGAGAAGGGAUGACACAGUAGGAUAAGCUAAGCACACUGUUGGUUAUGUGUGCCCAAGCAUUGAGGCAGUCAAAGUAGGCAAAUCCGCUUUGAUAAUGCUGGGAUGUGAUGGGGAGCGAAAUUUAGUAGCGAAGUAGCUGAUUUCACACUGUCAAGAAAAGUCUCUAUCGAGGUUAAAGGUACCCGUACCGCAAACCGACACAGGUGGGUGAGGAGAGUAUCCUAAGGCCAGCGAGAGAACUGUUGUUAAGGAACUCGGCAAAAUGACCCCGUAACUUAGGGAUAAGGGGUGCCACCAUCAGGUGGCCGCAGAGAAUAGGCCCAAGCGACUGUUUACCAAAAACAUAGGUUUCUGCUAAGUCGCAAGACGAUGUAUAGGAGCUGACGCCUGCCCGGUGCUGGAAGGUUAAGGGGAUCUGUUAGAGCAAUCGAAGCAGUGAACUUAAGCCCCAGUAAACGGCGGCCGUAACUAUAACGGUCCUAAGGUAGCGAAAUUCCUUGUCGGGUAAGUUCCGACCCGCACGAAAGGCGUAACGAUUUGGGCACUGUCUCAACAACAGACUCGGUGAAAUUGUAAUUCCGGUGAAGAUGCCGGAUACCUGCGACAGGACGGAAAGACCCCAUGGAGCUUUACUGUAGCUUGACAUUGGGUCUUGGUACUACAUGUACAGGAUAGGUGGGAGGCUUUGAAACCAGGACGCCAGUUUUGGCGGAGCCAUCCUUGGGAUACCACCCUUGUAGUACUGGGACUCUAACCAUAGGCCAUGAAUCUGGUCUUGGGACACUGUCAGGUGGGCAGUUUGACUGGGGCGGUCGCCUCCCAAAAGGUAACGGAGGCGCUCAAAGGUUCUCUCAGUACGGUCGGAAAUCGUACGUAGAGUGUAAAGGCAAAAGAGAGCUUGAUUGCAAGACAUACAGGUCGAGCAAGGAUGAAAAUCGGACUUAGUGAUCCGGUGGUUCUGCGUGGAAGGGCCAUCGCUCAACGGAUAAAAGCUACCCUGGGGAUAACAGGCUUAUCUCCCCCAAGAGUCCACAUCGACGGGGAGGUUUGGCACCUCGAUGUCGGCUCAUCACAUCCUGGGGCUGUAGUAGGUCCCAAGGGUUGGGCUGUUCGCCCAUUAAAGUGGUACGCGAGCUGGGUUCAGAACGUCGUGAGACAGUUCGGUCCCUAUCCGUCGCAGGCGUAGGAAAUUUGAGAAGACCUGUCCUUAGUACGAGAGGACCGGGAUGGACGUACCUCUGGUGUACCAGUUGUCCUGCCAAGGGCAUGGCUGGGUAGCUAUGUACGGAAUGGAUAAGCGCUGAAAGCAUCUAAGCGCGAAGCCAACUUCAAGAUAAGAUUUCCCACCGCAAGGGUAAGACCCCAGAAAGACUAUCUGGUUGAUAGGUCGAAGGUGUAAGUGCAGCAAUGUAUUUAGCUUAUCGAUACUAAUAGGUCGAGGACUUGACCAA
rnacentral:rRNA from 1 species